AACGCACCUUGCGCUCCUUGGUAUUCCGAGGAGCAUGCCUGUUUGAGUGUCAUUAAAUUCUCAACCUUUAUUAGCUUUUGCUGGUAAAUGGCUUGGAUGUGGGGGCUUGCUGGCUUUGGUCAGCUCCCCUUAAAUGCAUUAGCCGGUGCCCUGUGUGGACUGUCUAUUGGUGUGAUAAUUAUCUACGCCAUGGGAUGUCUGCAAUGGUUUUGCGCUGCUUCUAACCGUCUGUUCAUUCGGACAAUUUCAAUGACAAUUUGACCUCAAAUCAGGUAGGACUACCCGCUGAACUUAA
rnacentral:misc_RNA from 1 species